UCGCACGCGCAGCUUUCGCAAUUGAGAAAAAGCUGAAUCUUGGGAUUGAGAAAAGAGGCCAUUUCAGGCACUCCGUUUCUAGCAGUUGCCAGAAACGAACGAGAAAAAGCAAAGUGUGCCUGCGGAAGACCUUGGGAUGGCGCCAUUGUUCUUCCUGUGCUUCAUGUUUAGCGCGGACUUCACGGCGUAUAUAUGUGGCAGUAUAUUCAUAUACUAACAAUAAAUAUACUUACUCAGCAUCGCCCAGUAGCUGGUACUGAUCUGGUCCACGUAGACCUGAAAAUGUUGUGCGCAGAUUGUACUGUUGGUAGUUGCAAACACAGAAGAUCUGGUUUCUUGAAAGUUCUUAAUAUUUAAAUAAGUGGAGAGGACUGUGGCACCAGUCACAAUCCGGUUAUUGCCAAUGUUAGAGACAGGCUGGCAGAAAACAAACCCAGAAAUGCACAAAUGUGAAGUGGAGUGAUUCAACCUCAAGAAAUUAAAUGAAGAAUGUGGUGGAAAAUAUUGUCAUGUAAAGACGUCGAGCAGGUUUGCAGCUUUAUAAAACUUAGAAGAUGGUGUGGAUAUUAAUAGAGCCUGGGAAGCUAUUAGAGUGAGUAUCAAAAUUUUCAGUGAAAGAGGUUCAAGUUUAUCAAGAACUUGAGUAGCAUUAGCCAUUGUUCAAUGAGUUGUGUUCAGUAAUUUUAUACCAAAGGAAACAGGACGAAUUGUAUUGGAGCCUAAUGAAAUGGGGAUAAUCUGAACAUUAUAAAGCACAAAGCCAGCAGGCAUCUGGAAAGAAGAGGAAAUGUCUGAAAGAUAAAAAUGAGCUUGCAACAGUCAGUAAGCGCAAGAACAUUAGAGGCCUGUAUAGAGGAAUAAUCAAAUUUAAGAGGGGUUGCCAACCUGGAAGUAACUGCCUGAAGAUUCCCACAACUUUUUGAAUACGUAGAAGAAUUUCUUCUUCCACUUACUGAAUAUAUAUAGGAUCAGUGAUAUUAGGCAGAUAGAAAUACAUACUGCUGAGCCAUUAGUACCUGAUCCUAGUCCUUUUGAGGUUGAAAUAGUUACUGUGAAGUUGAAAAGAGAAGACCAAGGCAUAGGUGAGUGAACAAUAUUACAAUGGAUCUUAGAGAGAUAGGUUUUGAUAGUAUGGAU